GAUGAACGCUGACAGAAUGCUUAACACAUGCAAGUCUUUGGCGAAGCUGUGCUUGCACAGCCUAGCCAAGGCGGACGGGUGAGUAACGCGUAAGGAACUUGCCCUGCAGUCAGGGAUAACAGACGGAAACGACUGAUAAGACCUGGUAAAGUCAGGCGGACUCAUGUCCAGCCUGAUGAAAAGUGAUGCUGCAGGAGAGCCUUGCGUCCUAUUAGCUUGUUGGUGGGGUAACGGCCCACCAAGGCGAUGAUAGGUAGCCGGCCUGAGAGGGUGGACGGCCACAAGGGGACUGAGAUACGGCCCUUACUCCUACGGGAGGCAGCAGGGGGGAAUAUUGGACAAUGGGGGCAACCCUGAUCCAGCAAUUCUGUGUGCACGAUGAAGGUCUUCGGAUUGUAAAGUGCUUUCAGCAGGGAAGAAAAAAAUGACGGUACCUGCAGAAGAAGCGACGGCUAAAUACGUG
rnacentral:rRNA from 1 species